AGAAUGGCUCGGUUAUGUUUUGCUGUCUAUGCGGUUUUGGAUAAAGUAAAAACGAAGAAAUCAACUAAAGCUAUUAAUCCCUCUAAAUACCAGACCAUCCGGAAAGCUGGAAAAGUGCAUUAUCCUGUAGCAUGGGUGAACACGAUGGUCUUUGACUUUAAAGGACAGUUGAGGUCUGGAGACGUGAUACUGCACAGCUGGUCUUCAUUUCCUGAUGAGCUUGAAGAAAUGUUGAAUCCAAUGGGAACUGUUCAGAGGAAUCCUUACACUGAAAAUGCAACUGCUUUGCACAUUAAAUUUCCAGAGAAUAAAAAGCAUCCCUAUUAUUACCCGCCUUUUGAUAAGAUUAUUGAAAAGGCAGCUGAGAUUGCAAGCAAUGAUAGUGCUAAUGUGUCAAGUCGAGGAGGAAAAAAGUUUCUUGCGGUACUGAAAGAAAUCUUGGAUAGGGAUCCCCUGUCUCAGCUGUGUGAGAAUGAAAUGGAUCUUAUUUGGACUUUGCGACAAGACUGCAGAGAGAAUUUCCCACAGUCACUGCCAAAAUUACUCCUUUCAAUCAAGUGGAAUAAACUUGAAGAUGUGGCUCAGCUUCAGGCGCUACUUCAAAUUUGGCCUAAACUGCGCCCCCCCCCACACCGGAAGCUCUGGAACUUCUAGAUUUCAACUAUCCAGACCAGUAUGUCCGGGAGUACGCUGUGAGCUGCCUGCGACAGAUGAGUGAUGAAGAACUGUCUCAGUAUCUUCUACAACUGGUGCAAGUUUUAAAAUAUGAGCCUUUUCUUGAUUGUGCGCUCUCUAGAUUCCUACUAGAAAGAGCACUUGCUAAUCGGAGGAUAGGGCAGUUUCUGUUUUGGCAUCUUAGGUCAGAGGUGCACAUUCCUGCUGUGUCAGUACAAUUUGGUGUCAUCCUUGAAGCGUACUGUCGAGGAAGCGUGGAACACAUGAAAGUGCUUUCUAAACAGGUUGAAGCACUCAACAAGUUAAAAACUUUAAAUAGUUAAAUCAAACUGAAUGCAAUGAAGCUAAACAGAGCUAAAGGAAAGGAGGCCAUGCACACUUGUUUAAUGCAUACCGGGAAGCCCUCUCUGACCUGCAGUCACCUCUGAAUCCAUGUGUCAUCCUCUCAGAACUCUAUGUGGAAAAGUGCAAAUACAUGGACUCCAAAAUGAAGCCGUUGUGGUUGGUGUACAGCAACAAGGUGUUUGGUGAGGAUUCGGUCGGAGUGAUUUUUAAAAACGGUGAUGAUUUGCGACAGGAUAUGUUAACACUCCAAAUGUUGCGCUUGAUGGAUUUGCUCUGGAAAGAAGCUGGUCUGGAUCUUCGGAUGCUGCCUUAUGGCUGUUUAGCAACAGGAGAUCGCUCUGGCCUCAUUGAGGUUGUGAGCACCUCUGAGACGAUUGCUGACAUUCAGCUGAACAGUAGCAAUGUGGCUGCUGCAGCAGCCUUCAACAAAGACGCCCUUCUCAACUGGCUUAAGGAAUACAAUUCUGGGGAUGACCUGGAUCGAGCAAUUGAGGAGUUCACCCUGUCCUGUGCUGGCUACUGUGUAGCUUCUUAUGUCCUCGGGAUUGGUGACAGACAUAGUGACAACAUCAUGGUAAAAAAAACUGGCCAGCUCUUCCACAUCGACUUUGGACAUAUUCUUGGAAAUUUCAAAUCUAAAUUUGGUAUUAAAAGGGAGCGAGUGCCUUUUAUUCUUACUUAUGACUUUAUUCAUGUCAUUCAACAAGGAAAAACAGGAAACACAGAAAAAUUUGGCCAGUUCCGCCAGUGUUGUGAAGAUGCAUACCUGAUUUUACGACGGCACGGGAAUCUCUUCAUCACUCUCUUUGCACUGAUGUUGACUGCAGGACUCCCCGAGCUCACAUCAGUCAAGGAUAUACAGUGUCUUAAGGAUUCUCUUGCUUUAGGGAAAAGUGAAGAAGAAGCACUCAAACAAUUUAAGCAAAAAUUUGAUGAGACACUCAGGGAAAGCUGGACUACUAAAGUGAACUGGAUGGCCCACACAGUCCGGAAAGACUACAGAUCUUAACGACCAGCCUUUGCUCCUAAUGUUCCCCUUAGUUUUGUUUUGUUUUCAUUUUGCACUUGCACUAAAUUGAACAAGACCCUGCCAGAGAUGUUAUAAAGGGAAUGAAAUCCUUUAUAUGAACUCAGAGAUAAAUAAGAACAAGGCACCCCACAGAAACUAAUGUGAACAAUCCCUGACAACUACACUAUGCUUUUUGAAUGCUUCCAAGACUCAUCAUGAAUCCUGUCAGCAUUAUGGAUAAUCAUUUCCUGCUGACUUUGCACGCCAAGGAAUAAAUGCUACUAGGGAUUGUUUGAUGUCUCUUUUUUGUUUUUUAAAGUGUUUGGUACUUUAUGAGAAAGGUGUAAAUACUUAUUUUCAGCGUUGUGACCAGGUGUUACCAUUCAGCCAACAACUUGUCCACACCUGGGGACUGUUCUUAUUUUCCAAAUGAAGCAUCAAAGAAAGUUAUCUUCCUUCCCUUUUAAAAUUGUAUAAAGUACAAAUUAUAAUCUGAAUCUAAGAUUAUUUUUCAAAAGAAAUCUUUUAAUCCUAUGGAAACUCAUUAAUUUUGUUAAUAUUUAUCUACCCUGGUAGUAUCAUUCCAACCAGACUUGCUGAAAAUCUGUUGGUGAGAUGAACAUAAUAUAUAUAUAUAUAAAACAUGCUGCAUUUAUAUUUAUAAAAUUUCUAGUGGGAGUUCUAUAUAAAAAGAUGUUUCUUUGGUAUUCUCUAGCCUGUAUUUAAAGUUUUACAAAAAGCGGAGCUUUUUCCUAAGUUACCUUUCAGUUGGUUAACUGCGAUCCAGUUCUUCCAGCUGCUUCUGUAAUGAGGCACAUAUUAAUACACUUUUUAUAUGGUAUCUGUGAAAGAAUUCACUUCAUAGUACAUAAUACUUGAGCAGAUGUAUCGAUGAAAGCAAGCAAAUGAAAAGGAACUAUUUAUGGAAUAAACUCCAGACCUAAAAUUCAGUAUUUUAGUAAAAUGCCAGCUAUUCUUACUGUAUUUAUUAAAACUUGUAAUAAUGUGAUUUUUCAAUGAUACUAGUUCACACUGAAAUGGUUUCAUGCCACAUGGAAGUCUUCAGUUUAUUUCUUGAGGUACCACACAUUUAGGGUGCUGGGUGGUGAAUAAUGUUAAUAUGUGCAAUAGGAACUACUGGCUUGAUGUGCAGGUGAAGUAGACACUCUGAGUACUGGCACGAUCCAGCAGAACCACUGCUUAUUCUCCAAAGGAUAUUGGGGGCUCUCAGUCCUCAAUGAAUGGGAAAGACAGCUGAGUUCUUGCCCUGUGACUGAGUUUUCUAUAGGAAUUUUAUUAAAGGUUGUU